GAUGAACGCUGGCGGCGUGCCUAAUACAUGCAAGUCGAGCGAACGGACGAGAAGCUUGCUUCUCUGAUGUUAGCGGCGGACGGGUGAGUAACACGUGGAUAACCUACCUAUAAGACUGGGAUAACUUCGGGAAACCGGAGCUAAUACCGGAUAAUAUUUUGAACCGCAUGGUUCAAAAGUGAAAGACGGUCUUGCUGUCACUUAUAGAUGGAUCCGCGCUGCAUUAGCUAGUUGGUAAGGUAACGUCUUACCAAGGCAACGAUGCAUAGCCGACCUGAGAGGGUGAUCGGCCACAUGAGAACUGAGGCACGGACCAGACCCCGACGGGAGGCAGGAGUAGGGAAUCUUCCGCAGUGGGGGAAAGCCUGACGGAGAAACGGCGCGUGGGUGAUGAAGGUCUUCGGACCGUAAAACUCUGUUAUUAGGGAAGAAAAUAUGUGUAAGUAACUGUCCCCACCUUGGCGGUACCAAAUCAGAAAGCCACGGCUAACUACGU
rnacentral:rRNA from 1 species